rnacentral:rRNA from 1 species
CACGGGGGGAGCAAGCGUUGUUCGGAAUCACUGGGCGUAAAGGGCGUGUAGGCGGUCAAGUAAGUGGAAUGUGAAAUCCCUCGGCUUACCCGAGGACCUGCAUCCCAAACUGCUUGGCUUGAGUACGGGAGAGGAUGAGGGAAUUCCUGGUGUAGCGGUGAAAUGCGUAGAUAUCAGGAGGAACACCGGUGGCGAAGGCGCUCAUCUGGCCCGAUACUGACGCUGAUGCGCGAAAGCUAGGGGAGCAAACGGG